CUUACGAAUCGCAUAGGACUUCUUCUUUUCUACCAAGAUUGAUAGAUUCCAUCUAGGUGCAUCCUACUCCAAACAGCAAAUCUGAACCUACAUAGCCAACAUACACAGCAAGGACCCAUAUGGCUAGGGACCAAGAAAAUAUGCAGUCAAACUAUAUAGCCUCGCUGCGAAUAACCAACACACCGCAGGUCAAAUGAUCAGUCACACCAC
rnacentral:lncRNA from 1 species